UACAGAGGUCUCAAGCGUUGUUCGGAGUUACUGGGCGUAAAGCGUGCGUAGGCGGUGUCUUAAGUUUGUUGUGAAAUCUCCCGGCUUAACCGGGAGGGUGCGGCGAAUACUGAGAUGCUGGAGUGCCGGAGAGGUAAGCGGAAUUCCUGGUGUAGCGGUGAAAUGCGUAGAUAUCAGGAGGAACACCUGCGGUGUAGACGGCUUACUGGACGGUAACUGACGCUGAGGCACGAAAGCGUGGGUAGCAAACAGG
rnacentral:rRNA from 1 species